rnacentral:piRNA from 1 species
UCAGCAGGCAACACAGAACUAUCUUUCUG